rnacentral:rRNA from 1 species
AAAUAACUACGAGUAAAAACUUAAAAUUUAAAAGACUUGACGGUACUUCACACCACCCUAGAGGAGCCUGUCCAACAACCGAUACUCCACGAUUAACCCAACCCGCUCUAGCCCCCCAGUCUAUAUACCGCCAUCGCCAGCUCACCUUGUGAAAGAAACAAAGCGAGCCCAAAAGCACCCUAACUUUUUCUUGCUAGCACGAUAGGUCGAGGUGUAACUAAUGAGCGGGGACAGGAUGGGCUACAUUUUCUACAACAGAAAAUACGAAUAAAAUACGAAAGUAUAAACAGAAGGCGGAUUUAGCAGUAUGUUAAAGACAAAAUACUUAACCGAAACAAACGCAAUGAAGUGCGU